AUGGAUUUUAGCCCAUCGAUCCUGUGUUGGAACGUGAGAGGGUUAAACAACCCAGCGAAGAGAGAUGCAGUAAGGGCGUUCAUAGCCACCGUGAGAGUGAAUAUAAUUUGUCUGCAAGAAACUAAGAUGGAAGCCAUUGACCGUUACACCGUGUUGCAAUGCCUCGGGCCGUCCUUUGACGGCUUCGCUUUCCUGCCCGCGGUAGAUACGAGAGGUGGAGUUCUCAUCGCAUGGGAUUCGACUUGCAUUGACAUCGACCAGUUCCAGGCGAACACUGAUUUCAUAUCGGGGCGUGUUCUUACGAGACAUGGAGCAUCCUGGUGGAUCUCCGUGGUCUAUGGACCGCAAGGAAACACUAGGAAAACUGCGUUUCUGGAGGAGCUCCAUGCAGCGCGCGCGCUCAGGCCUGGACCGUGGAUGAUUCUUUGCAAUUUUAACAUGAUUCUGCGUGCCUCUAAGAAGAAUAACUCGAACCUAAACAGGAGCAUGAUGAACAAGUUCCGCAGUUUUAUAGACAACAAUGAGCUCAAAGAAGUCUACAUGCAUGGGAGGAGAUUCACUUGGUCAAACGAGAGAGAUGUCCCCACCCUAACCAAGAUUGAUAGGGUGCUGGUUUCUAUGGAUUGGGACUUGGAGUAUCCGGACUGUCUCUUGCAAGCGUUAUCCUCGGGCAUAUCUGAUCAUGCUCCACUUCACCUGAACACGGGAGCUUUUUUCUGUCCUAAAAAGAGAUUUCGCUUUGAGAUUACUGGCUUAAGUUCGAAGGGUUUGAGGAUGCGAUAA
rnacentral:rRNA from 1 species